CUGAACAUUGGGGACAGGGACUUACUUUCUGCUAAACAUGCAAAGGAUGGGGCGGCCCUAGACAGUUCUGCUCGACCUGCGAGCGAGCCGAGCGCGCACUUGUGUGCUAGCUGUUGACCUAUGGCGAUGGGUUGAUUUGUGUCUCUCUGUGUCAGGCUGUUGCUCCAGAAAGCGGGAUUCUUAUGCUCGUGGAGAGGAAUCUGAUGAAGGGAGGAGAUCUCUCCGUGUGCUGCCCGGGCAUCACCCACAGGGCGGUGGGGGUUGGGGGGAUUAAACAGGGCGGCGCUUCAUCGCCUGGGCAGCGGGCUGCCGGAGGGCGGGCGAGGCGCCGGGGAGGUAGGUAAGCCGGUGGGUGGGUGCCUCCUGCGAAGCAAGCAAUCCGCGCCCAGCUUCAGCGCCGCCCUGCUGCCUUCACAGGCUCGCUCCCCCAGGCUGCCAAGGCAGGAGAGAGCCGCCCGGGUUGCCCCAGAGGGGAAGGCGGAGGAGGGAAGGGAGCAGCAUGGCGUGCUACAGCGGCGAGUACUUGGUAUCUGAAGAUGGGCUACCUGAACCAAGAAAGUGGCGGCCAUUGUUAUAUAGGAAAUGCACAGAUACCUUUUGGUUGAUGCUAUUCUUCCUCUUUUGGGCAGGUUUGAUGUUUAUAACUGGCUAUGCUAUAACGGCUGGAGCUGCAGAAAGGCUUGUGUUUGGAUAUGACAGCUAUGGAAACAUAUGUGGUCGAAAGAACACUCCUAUAGUAGGUGCACCUCUGUCGGGACAAGAUAUGACAACCAAAAAAUAUGUGUUCUUUUUGAAGUCAUGUGAUUUGGAAAUCAAAAAUCUUCGUGUCAAUUCAGUUGCAUUGUGUGUAUCGAGUUGUCCUCAAGAGCAGCUUAAUUCCUUGGAAGACAUUCAGCUUUUUGCAAAGAAUAAUGAUUCUUGCCUUUGUGUUUACAAUAUAAAUGCUACCAGUUGUGUACACAGUUCCAAAGUAGCUGAACUUUGUCCUACUUUACCAGUUCCACAAAGUGUAUCUUUCCCAUUGUUUAAUCGAUGUGUUCCACAAAAUGCUAAAUGCUAUUCCCAGUUUACAUCGGUACUGAUAAAUGUGGCCAAUGAAGUCGAUAUUUUUCAUCGUGUUCUGAGUGGGAUAAUGGCAGGAAGAGAGACUGUAAUAGGCCUGUGCAUCCUUGCAUUGGCCUUCUCUGUAAUAAUGACGGUAACCUUCAGAUUCAUCAGCAUGCUUCUCAUUCAUAUUUUUCUUACACUGCUUGUAUUUGGAUUAUUAUUUGUUUCGGGUAUUAUGUGGUGGCUGUAUUAUAAUUAUACCAAUGAACCCAGCAUUGAAUUAGAAACUGAAAAGGAAAAUAUGAAAUUAUUGCUUGCAUUUUCUAUUAUAUCUUCAACUCUUACGGUUGUCCUACUCUUUCUGAUACUGAUACUAAGGAAGAGGAUUCAUCUGACUAUCCAGCUCUUUCAAGUUGCAAAUAAAAUAAUCAGCAAUAUCCCUUCUCUGUUCUUUCAGCCCCUUUGGAGUUUUAUGAUACUUAUUUUCUUUUGGAUAUACUGGGUUGCUGUGCUACUUAGCUUAGGAACUGCAGGUAAUGCCCAAGUCAUUUCACAAGGUCAAGUGGAAUACAACAUUCUGUUUGGCAUUCGCUACAUGUGGUGGUACCACUUAAUUGGGCUUAUUUGGACAAGUGAAUUCAUUCUAGCAUGUCAGCAGAUGACUGUGGCUGGGGCAGUGGUUACUUGCUUCUUCAACCGAAAUAAGAGUAAACCACCAAGUCAUCCAGUCCUGUCUUCCAUAUCAGUUCUUUUUUGUUAUCAUCUGGGAACAGUUGUGAAAGGGUCCUUUUUAAUCACAAUAGUGAGAAUCCCAAGGAUUAUUCUAUUGUCUAUUUAUAACAUCCUGAAAGAAAAGGAGAAUGCAUGUGCAAGGUGCAUGUUCAAAUGCUGUUUUUGCUGUUUCUGGUGCCUAGAAAGAGGCCUAAGAUACUUAAACCAGAAUGCAUACACAGCAACAACCAUAAAUGGGACAAAUUUUUGUACCUCAGCAAAAGAUGCCACGCUUAUUUUAGCAAAGAAUCCAACUAUUACCGUGCUAAUCAACUGCUUUGGUGACUUCACCAUCUUUCUGGGAAAGGUAUUUGUGGUAUGUUUCACAGUUUUUGGAGGCUUGAUGGCAUUUAACUACCAUCGGGAACUACACGUUUGGGUAGUUCCACUUCUGCUGAUUACAUUUUUUGCUUACCUGGUUGCCCACAGCUUCUUAUCAGUAUUUGAAACUAUAGUGGAUGUCCUGUUCCUUUGUUUUACUGUUGACAUAGAAACAAAUGAUGGAACUCCAGAGAGGCCAUAUUUCAUGGAUCUAGAAUUAAUGAACUUUGUGUAUCAAAGCAGCAAGUUCACAGAGGAGAGCAAUCAAAAAAGUAAAAAAAGUCGUCAUAAUAAUGAGUAUGGCACAGAACUCCAGCCUAUGACCAGACCUUGAGAUGGCUUUGAAAGCAUGCACACCAAAACAGCAAAGCCCAGACAAAAUAAAGUGAAGGUUGCCAAUGCCUUGAGAGAAUGAGCUCCUGAUUUGAAGAGGAAACUUCUCCAAACUGAGGAGUAUGGUGAAAAGAAAGCUGAAAGGGAAAAUCAGGAGAGUCACUUCGCUCCAGAAUGCAUCGAGUUUACAAUACUAGACACCCAGUUAGAUUGUAUACCCAAAAGGAGGAAAGGUACCACUAAGUCCAGAAGGAUGUCAGCAUGGCUAACAGGUAAAGUCAAGGAAGCCAUAACAGGGAAGACUUCCUUCCGAAAUUGGAAGGCCUGUCAAAAUGAAGAGAACAAAAAGGAACACAAACUCUGGCAAAAGAAAUGCAAGGUGACAAUAAGGGAGGCGAAAAGAGAGUUUGAAGAACGUUUAGCCAAAAGUAUCAAGGGGAAUAACAAAAACUUCUUUAAAUACAUCAGAUGCAGGAAACCUGCCAGGGAGGUGGUUGGACCAUUAGACAAUGAGGGAGUGAAAGGGAUUAUUAAGGAGUUUGCAGAGAAGCUAAAUGAGUUCUUUGCGUCCAUCUUCACAACAGAGGAUACUGAGCAUAUGCCUGUUCCUGAACCAGACUUUUCAGGGAUGGAGGCUAAAGAACAGAGAUAGAAGAGACAAGAGAUGAUGAUCUAAACUGUCUGGAAAAACUGAAAGCUAGCAAAUCGCCAGGGUCGGAUGGCAUCCAUCCAAGAAUCCUCAAAGAACUCAAAUGUGAAAUUGCCGACCUUGCUAAAAUAUAUAAUUUAUCCCUGCAAUCAGGCUCUGUACUGGAGGACUGGAAAGUAGAAAAUGUAACACUGGUUUUCAAAAAGGGAUCCAAGGGCGAUCUGGGAAAUUACAGGCCAGUUAGCUAAAUGUCCAUUCCAGGAAAAUUGAUGGAAAACAUCCUCAAGGAUAAAAUUGUAAAGAACAUAGAAGAACAGGUCCUGCUGGGAGAGAACCAGCAUGGCUUCUGCAAAGGGAAAUCUUGCCUCACAAACCUUUUGGAGUUUUUUGAGAGUGUCAAGUGUGAUCCAAACGGAUAAUGGUGAUCCAGUUGACAUAGUAUACCUGGAUUUCCAAAAAACUUUUGACAAAGUUCCUCAUCAAAGACUCUUGAGAAAACUUAGCAGUCAUGGGAUAAGAGGACAAGUACUUGUGUAGAUUGCUAACUGGUUGAAGGACAGAAAACAGAGGGUAGGUAUAAAUUGAGAGUUCUCACAAUGGAGGGAAGUAAGAAGUGGGGUCCCCCAGGGAUCUGUACUGAGACCGGUGCUUUUUAAUUGAUUCAUAAAUGAUCUAGAAGUAGGGGUAAGCAGCGAGGUGGCUUAAUUUGCAGAUGAUACCAAACUCUUUCGGAUAGUGAAAUCCAAAAUGGAUUGUGAGGAGCUCCAAAAGGAUCUCUCCAAAUUGAGUGAGUGGGCAACAAAAUGGCAAAUGUGGUUCAGUGUUGGAAAUUGUAAAGUGAUGCACAUUGGGACGAAAAACCCCAACUUCAAGUAUACGUUGAUGGGAUCUGAGCUGUCGGUGACUGACCAGGAGAGGGAUCUUGGGGUCGUGGUGGUCCGCUCAUUGAAAGUGUCGACUCAAUGUGUGGCAGCUGUUAAAAAGGCCAGUUCCACACUAGGGAUCAUUAGGAAGGGGAUUGAAAAUAAAACUACUUAUUAUAAUGCCCUUAUACAGAACUAUGGUGCAGCCACAUCUGGAGUACUGUAUACAAUUCUGGUCACCACAUCUAAAGAAGGACAUUGUAGAACUGGAAAAGUUGCAGAAGAGGGCAACCAAGAUGAUCAGGGGCCUAGGGCACCUUUCUUAUGAGGCAAGGCUGCAACACCUGGGGCAUUUUUAUUUAGAAAAAAGAUGAAUGUGGGACACAUGAUAGAGGUCUACAAAAUCAUGCAUGGUGUGGCGAAAGUGGUUAGAGAGAAAUUUUUCUCCCUCUCACAUAACACUAGAACCAGGGGUCAUUCCAUUUUGGACGAAUGAAUGAAGGUACUUUUUCACACAAAACAUAAUCAGCUUUUUGAAUUCUCUGCCACAAGAUGUGGUGACAGCCAACAACCUGGAUGGCUUUAAGAGGGGUUUGGAAAACUUCAUGGAGGAGAGGCCUAUUAACGGCUACUAGUCUGAAGGCUAUAGGCCACCUCCAGCCUCAGAGGCAGGAUGCCUCUGAGUGGCAGUUGCAGGGGAGUAACUGCAGGAGAGAGGGUAUGCCUUCAACUCCUGCUGUAAGCUUCCAGUGACAUCUGGUGGGCCACUGUGUGAAACAGGGUACUGGACUAGAUGGGCUUUGGGCCUGAUCUAGCAGGGCAGUUCUUAUGUUCUUAACCAUAGUUGUACUAUUUUUGCAUGUGCACAAGGGUGCAAAUGCAUGCAUGCUGUCUUAUGUGCAUGGAGUUCGCGCAGUAUGUCAGCCACUGUUUGGGGUGUGCACAGACUGUGGUUCGAGGUCCAGUCCGAAUUUGGAUCGGUCCACAGAACUGGUUUGUUUUGGUCUGGCCGAACUGCAAACCAGUCCGGUGGUCCGAGAGAGCAUAUGGGGUGGUGGAGGGAGCGGCAUCUUUAAAAAUAAAGACGCAGGUCCUUACCAGCGUGACAGCCACUCCAGGCAGUUUCCUGUUGCAACGGUGCUCCCCUCUUCAGCCCGUGCGCGGCUGUGGUGUGGCUCCCUCAUUCACCUUGCCUCCGUGCAUGUAUGGAGGCCAUUUGUGUGGUCACAACACCAUGCAAUUCGGACUGGACCUCGAACUGCAAUCCAAGCCGACUCCGUAUCAUGACAUACCACACAAACUUCCAUGCACGCAAGUCAGCGUGCAUGCAUUUGCACAAGUAUACUCUUGUGCACAUGCACAAAUUCCACAACCAUGGUCGUGCAAUAGUAUAGCUAUUAUUUCCAAUGGUUCUACUAAAAUGAAACGGCAGUUGCACAGUUUGUGUGUGCGCAAAAUAGUGUACUUGUGCAACUGGAUGUUGCUGUGUUAAAACAAGCACAGAUGUUGAUGCAGUUGGUCAACCACUGCUAUGAAGGGUACUAGUAGGAUUUUCAGGGCCCAGUACAGUGCAAACAGUUCCGCCUGCCCUGGAAUCUACAGACCUGGUCAGCAGCACCAUGCUGACCUCGCAAACGGCCUCUGUGGAUGUGCAGAGGCCAGGUGAGUGACGGAGCAGGAAGCUGACUGGAGCAGCGGUCACGCUGGUAAGGACAUGAGUCUUUAUUUUAAAGGGGCCUCUCACCGGCACCGCCUCGAACUGCCGGACCAGUUUGAAGUGGACCAAACCAGUUCGGCAGGCCACAAACCUGUCUGAAUUCAGACUGGACCUCGAACUGCAGUCCGUGCACACCCCUAGCCACUGUGCCCCUCUUUGAACUCUCUUAAAUUUCAAGCAGCUGCUUGUGAUAGAUACUACAUUGGUGGCUACCAUAGAGAGAAGUAGCAUAUGGACCUUCCCUUGCACAUCUCUGGAUUCAAACAAUUUGACUUGUGAAAAGGAUUUGUCUGAAGUUAUAAAAAGCAAAGUCAAGUCAUACCUCUCUACUCUGUUGAAAAGGAAGGUAUACAAUGGAUCAGGUUAGACAAAGAUACAAUUAUAAUCCAAUGGUAUGCUGGAAGACUAGGAAACUACUGAAAUAAAAAACCAGGCCAUACCUGAAAUCCUCUUCUCGCAGUCUACACUGAAGGCACUUUUUGAAUUCCUGGUUGAUUUCAAGGGAUGGCUACUGGAUCGCAGACAUUCCAAGGUGAUUUGUUAAUGGCCUCUGGGUUAAAUUUCAGAAAUUCUGGCUUGCAUACUGCAUAGGGCAACAUGGGUGGCUUGCGUACUACCCGCAGCCUUCUGUACAUGUAAACAGCUGUGAGGAGGCUAUGCCACGAGGCAGCAGCCACCCUUCCUCAUUGCCCAUGGGCAUCGCACUGUGCAACUGCAUGCAGAGAGCACUCACUUCCAAGCUUUGCUGCCCUGCAGCACAGCCUCCUGGUAGCCAUUUACACGGACAGAAGGGCGAGGGUGGUGCUCAAGGCCCUCACGUUCCCUUGCACUCUAUGAAAGCCAUUGCAUUUUUACCUGUACCUCUUUUGAGCAAUGUGGAACUCGUGUAUGUGCCUAUUGCCCUUGCUGCAUGAUAGCAAAACAGCUUAUUCUAAACACUCUGUAUGUGACAUAAUCGACUAUAAGAAGUUCUACCAUCUCUCAUAAUUAGUAGAAUACUUUCCUACUCACUUUGAAAGCUGCCAUUGCCUUAAAUAGUGAAGUUGUAACUACUUUGGUAGCUUGAUGAAAAUGGUAUUGUCUGGCAGGUAAAUUUGGCCCCGACAAACUGUGAGGCCAAGUUAACUACUAUUGCACUUCAUUAUCAAACUUUGACUGUCCUAAGUCUUGUACAGGGAGGAAAAUUUUAUUGAACCCAGUGGUAUUUAUAAGCUGUAUUAGAUUGGGAUUCAUUUGUUUAUUGUUACAUUUUUAUACUCCCUUUCAUUAAAACAAUCUCAAGGCAGUUUGCAAAAUAUUUAAAACAAUAUAAGACUAUAGAACCGUUACACAAUAAAAAUAUUAAAUCAGAAUAUAAAAAUACAAUCUAAUUAAAAGUUUAAAAAACAUUCACAGUAGGACUAUAAAAUAUAGAGCAGCAGCAACAAAAACAACACUCAUAGAAAAGCCUGGGUAAAAAGCCAAGAUUCCCCUUGCUUUGUAAAAACUGCUGGAGAGUGGAUGCCCACUGGGAAAGCAUUCCAAAGUCUGGGGGCAAUAACUGAGAAGGCCCUUCCCGGUGUGCACGACAGCCGAGCCUCCCUUAUUGUCCACACAUGGAGUAGAGCACCCCCCGGCCCCCCGCCAAUGACCUCGUCAAGUGAAAAGAAAUUUAAGGUCAUUGCUCUAGCUUUUGUCCUUAUUGCAUGUCUAUUGCUCUGGCACAGCUGGCCCACAAAUGAGGCUGGGUAAGGCAGCUGUCUCAGGAAAUGGAUUGUCUCCACCAGAUGUUGCGGAGAAAGCUAAAAGGAAUUUAAAGGACUAUUUUGAAUUGAAUUUAAACCAAGGAAUGGAUAACAAAAUAGUUUGGAUGCAGGAAAUGCGGUUAUGAGAGGUUUCUUCAUACAACAAAAUGCAUAUUUCAAAAAAAAAGAUUGAAAAAAGAGGCACUAUUGAUGGAGAUUUCUAAAAAAGAAAGCGAACUAAUAUGGGCUAAGGAUAAGAAGAAGAUUACUCAAGUCAUUAAAAUGCUUCAGCAACAACUUUCCAUGUUAGUAUUAAAUGAGGUUGAACGGAACUUAAAAUAUGCAAAGCAAAAGUCAUUUGAAUUUGCAAACAAACCAGACAAGUUGUUAGCUUGGAAAAUUAGAAAUGAGAAAAAUAAUAAGUAUAUAUCCAAGAUACUAACAAAAAAUGGGCUUUCUUAUGAUGAAAGGGAAAUAAAAAGAGAAUUCUUUAGAUACUAUUCUGAACUAUACAAAGGAAAUAAAGUAGAAGAUAUAAAAAUUGACCAGUUUCUUAAGACACAAAAUAUUCCAAAACUUUCUAAGGAACACAUAGAAACUAUGAAUGCACCGAUAUCAAUAAUGGAAAUAACAGAAGUAAUAAAUCAAAGCAAGGCUAAUAAGGCGCCAGGACCCGACGGCCUAUCAGCUUCAUACUACAAAUCAUUUAAGGAUCAAAUACUACAGCCUUUGCAAUGGACUAUGAAUGAUAUUUUGCAAAAAGGGAUUAUGCUGGAGUCUUGGAAGUACGCCAAUAUUGCAGUAAUUCCAAAACCGGAUCAAGAUUUAACACAAGUCAAGAAUUAUAGGCCAAUCUCACUCUUAAACAACGACUAUAAACUUUUUGCUGCCAUUUUGGCAAGGAAAAUGAAGGCUAUACUAAGACUGUUUAUUCAUGAAGAUCAAGCAGGCUUUUUGCCAAAACGGCAAUUAAGAGAUAAUGUGAGAACUGUUUUGAAUGUAUUGGAGUAUUAUGAAAAACACAAUGAUAAACAGAUAGCCAUGAUUUUUCUGGACGCAGAGAAAGCUUUUGACAAUGUCUCCUGGCAGUUCAUGUGGAGAUUAUUCGAUGCAAUGGGAGUUGGUAAUAAUUUCAGUAGGGCUAUUAAGACAAUUUAUUCGGAGCAAUAUGCUAAAAUUAUUGUAAAUGGGGAAUUAUCAGACAAUUGCAAAAUACAGAAAGGAACUAGACAAGGAUGUCCACUUUCCCCAUUACUUUUUAUAUUAGUACUGGAAGUGCUCUGUAGAAGUAUUAGAGAAGAUGAUCAAUUACAAGGCCCAAAAAUUGGGAAACAAGAAUACAAACUAAAAGCCUUUGCGGAUGAUGUAGUGGUGUUUUUUUAGAAAAUCCAUUGGAGAAGAUUGGAAGACUCUUGGAAAAAAUGCAACAAUUUGGCCAACUAGCUGGGUUUUAUAUAAAUAAGAUUAAAACAAAGGUAUUGACAAAAAAAUAUGGAUCAGAGAUCGAAGGACAGACUUUUUGAAAUAAGUGAACUGAAAGUGGAGAAAAAAAAUUAAAUAUUUGGGCGUCUGGUUGUCAAACAAUAACUCCUUGUUGUUUUCAAAUAACUAUAUUAAAAUAUGGAAUACAGUAAAAAUUGACUUGCAAAGAUGGUAUAGAAUGAAAUUGUCUUUAAUGCGAAGAAUCUCAGUUGUGAAAAUGAAUGUUUUACUUAAAAUGUUGUUUCUUUUUAAGACUAUUCCUGUAAUUAAUACUUUAACUUGUUUUAAGCAAUGGCAAAAGGACAUUGGCUGUAAGUUGAAAAAUCUAAAUGAGGUACAAAAUUUUGUUAGUAAUUGGUUUCAGUACCAUCAGUUAAAUGAAGUUUUAAAGAAGGAUGUCAAACUUGGAUUUGAGGAUCAAAUGUCAAGAUUUGAGAAGGAGCUAUGUGAAAAUGAUGAAAAAUUAGUGUCUAAGAUGUAUAAGCUGUUGCUUUUGGAGGAGACAAGAGAUGAAGUGGUUAAAACGUCUAUGAUAAAAUGCGCUCAAGACGUGGGUCAUAAUAUAGAUAUGGCAGCUUGGGAAAAAUUAUGGAAAACUGAUUUAAAGUUCACUGCAUGUUACACUUUAAAAGAAAAUUAUUAUAAGAUGAUGUAUAGGUGGUAUUUGACGCCUAAAAAACUGGCGAUAAUGUAUAAAAAUGUUUCAAACAAAUGUUGGAAAUGUGGACAUUGUGAAGGAACUUUUUUUCAUAUGUGGUGGUCUUGUAGGAAGGCAAAGGCUUUUUGGGACAUGAUAUAUAAUGAGUUUAAAAAUUUUUUUUAAAUGACAUUUCCUAAGAGCCCAGAAUCCUUCCUGCUGGGAAUAAUGCAAGGAGAGUUUCCCACAAGAAAUUUAACAUUCUUCAUGUAUGCAACCAUGGCGGCCAGAAUACUAUACGCACAGAAAUGGAAGGAUAAUGAACUGCCCUCAAAAGAAGAUUGGCUGAUAAAAAUUUUGGAAUAUGCGGAGAUGGCAAAACUUACAGUACUGAUAAGAGAUCAAAAUUUGGAAACCAUUCUUACUGUACUUAAAUAACUAUUUUCCUAAUAUUGAUUUUUCAACUGGGUUUGAAAUUUAGCAAUAUUAGCAGGUUGAGUAGAGUAAAAUCGAGUUUGGUAAGGUAUAGGAUAUAUGUUUUGAAUUACUAUAGCAAGAGUUAAUUGUGUAAUUAGUGAUUUGCGCUGAUUAGUGAGCUGGAAGUGAGCUGGAAGUCAAUUUUCUGUUUAAUGUGUGAUGUAAUGAGAUUCUUAAGAUAUUGUUAAAAUCAAUAAAAAUUUAAAGCAAAAAAAAAAAAAAGGAAAUGGAUUGGUGAAUGUGGCAGAUUGCCUAGUGGUUGCCUCCACCAACUCACGGCCUCCCUUCAAGCCUCAUCUAGUGGUGAGUACACACCGGCUGCAACACACACACACCAUUUGUCUCGUCCCACCCUGCUGUUUUAAAAGGCAG